GUGGAGUCACACAUUGGUGCUGCUGCUCUCUUGCGGCUUUAUUUUAAACUAAUUCGAGGAGCUUGUCAUGAAGCAGUACGUCUACAUGUAAUAAACAUUGGGUUGUUUGAAUAUUGACGUAUGAACCAUUUACUCCAACUUCGAUAACAAGGUUAAGAAUUACAAUAUCCACCAAUUCUCUGUUGAAUCCGGGUGUCAAAGGUAGCCUCUGACUCAGAAGAAUGAGACAUCCCGCCGCCUUCGCGGGCCAAGAGGAGGACGCACGUGGGGUCAGGAGUGGCGUGGUGCGCAUACACUAUGUGGAAGAUCCUGGAACAAUGGACACUGGGAGUGGUGCGGUGUCAGUGUCGCCAACACAAGGGAGUGCCAACCUCGGAACACUACUGUGAGGCCUUUUGUAUCCAAAAUUGUAAAAUUGGUCUCACUUGACAAUACCUGAUGAAUAUGUCAUAGAUCACGCCCAUGUAGUUGAGGUCUCCUGAAUAUACUUUGUCACAUGCAUGAAAUGGUGGAUUUGUUCGUUGGUCUUGUGUUUUGUUGAUUUUACGCUUUUCAAUUGCUUAGAAUUCAUGAAAAGAAUAAAAA